CUGGCUCAGGAUGAACGCUAGCGACAGGCCUAACACAUGCAAGUCGAGGGGCAGCGCGGAGUAGCAUACUUGGCGGCGACCGGCGCACGGGUGGGUAACACGUAUGCAACCAACCCAUAACAGGGGGAUAACCCGGAGAAAUCCGGACUAAUACCGCAUAAGACCACGAUAUCGCAUGAUAUAGAGGUCAAAUAUUUAUAGGUUAUGGACGGGCAUGCGUCUGAUUAGCUGGUUGGCGGGGUAACGGCCCACCAAGGCAUCGAUCAGUAGGGGUUCUGAGAGGAAGGUCCCCCACAUUGGAACUGAGACACGGUCCAAACUCCUACGGGAGGCAGCAGUGAGGAAUAUUGGUCAAUGGGCGAAAGCCUGAACCAGCCAUGUCGCGUGAAGGAAUGAAGGUCCUAUGGAUUGUAAACUUCUUUUGCAGGAGGGUAAAGUGAGCUACGUGUAGUUCAUUGCAAGUACCCUGCGAAUAAGCAUCGGCUAACUCCGUGCCAGCCGCAGC
rnacentral:rRNA from 1 species